rnacentral:rRNA from 1 species
CGGCGAGUGAAGCGGUAACAGCUCAAAUUUGAAAUCUGGCCUCACGGUCCGAGUUGUAAUUUGUAGAGGAUGCUUCGAGCAUGGUCUGGCCUAAGUUCCUUGGAACAGGACGUCAUAGAGGGUGAGAAUCCCGUAUGCGGCCAGGUGCCUACGCUCAUGUGAAGCUCCUUCGACGAGUCGAGUUGUUUGGGAAUGCAGCUCAAAAUGGGUGGUAAAUUUCAUCUAAAGCUAAAUAUUGGCCAGAGACCGAUAGCGCACAAGUAGAGUGAUCGAAAGAUGAAAAGCACUUUGGAAAGAGAGUUAAACAGUACGUGAAAUUGUUGAAAGGGAAGCGCUUGCAACCAGACUUGCGCGCGGCCGAUCAUCCGGUGUUCUCACCGGUGCACUCGGCCGUGCUCAGGCCAGCAUCGGUUUUGGCGGCUGGAUAAAGGCCCUAGGAAUGUAGCUCCUCUCGGGGAGUGUUAUAGCCUAGGGUGCAAUGCAGCCUGCUGGGACCGAGGACCGCGCUUCGGCUAGGAUGCUGGCGUAAUGGUUGUAAGCGGCCCGUCUUGAAACACGGACCAAGGAGUCUAACAUCUAUGCGAGUGUUUGGGUGUCAAACCCAUACGCGUAAUGAAAGUGAACGGAGGUGAGAACCCUUAAGGGUGCAUCAUCGACCGGUCCUGAAGUUUACGGAAGGAUCUGAGUAAGAGCAUAGCUGUUGGGACCCGAAAGAUGGUGAACUAUGCCUGAAUAGGGUGAAGCCAGAGGAAACUCUGGUGGAGGCUCGCAGCGGUUCUGACG